UACACACCGCCCGUCACACCACGAAAGUGUACUGGACCAGAAGCCGCCGAGCCAACCCGUAAGGGAGGCAGGUGCCUAAGGUCUGGCCCAUGAUUGGGGUG
rnacentral:rRNA from 1 species